GCUGGAUUCAAGAAAGAUGAUAAGCAACUGGAUGCAGAGAUUCAUAGGAAGUACAUCUUUGGAGGACAUGUUGCCUCUUACAUGAGGUCUCUGAUUGAUGAUGAGCCUGAGAAGUACCAGACUCACUUUUCUGAGUUCAUCAAGAGGGGGAUUGAUCCGGAUCAGAUUGAGGAGAUGUACAAGAAGGUGCAUGCUGCUAUCCGUGAGGAUCCAACAAUAGUCAAGUCCACCAAGCCACCACCAAAGGAGCACAAGAGGUACAAUUUGAAGAAGCUGACCUAUGAGGAGAGGAAGGCUAGCCUUGUCAAGCGUUUGAAUGCCCUCAAUGAUGCCAACAAUGAUGAAGAUGAUGAGGAUGAUG
rnacentral:misc_RNA from 1 species